UACGGAGGAUGCGAGCGUUAUCCGGAUUUAUUGGGUUUAAAGGGAGCGUAGGCCGGCUUUUAAGUCAGCUGUGAAAGUCCGCGGCUCAACCGUGGAAUUGCAGUUGAAACUGGAGGCCUUGAGUGCACACAGGGGUGCCGGAAUUCAUGGUGUAGCGGUGAAAUGCAUAGAUAUCGCGCAGAACUCCGAUUGCGAAGGCAGCAUGCCGGCUCCACACUGACGCUGAGGCACGAAAGUGUGGGUAUCAAACAGG
rnacentral:rRNA from 1 species